AAGGUUUCCGUAGGUGAACCUGCGGAAGGAUCAUUAGUGAACAAACCGGUGUGGUUGUUGCUGGCCUUUUCGGAGGCAUGUGCACGCCCACCAUUGUUUCAUCCUUCUCCACCUGUGCACCCCCUGUAGGCCAGCCAGUCAAACCCUUCGAGUCAUUUCAUGGCUCGGUGUGAGGGCGGUUCACCCCGCUCUUGGACUGGUUAUGGUCCUACGUUUUCUCAUCAAUGCUUCAUGAAUGUAUAGAAUGUAUGUAAUGGGCUUAUGGCCUAUAAAACCUAAUACAACUUUCAACAACGGAUCUCUUGGCUCUCGCAUCGAUGAAGAACGCAGCGAAAUGCGAUAAGUAAUGUGAAUUGCAGAAUUCAGUGAAUCAUCGAAUCUUUGAACGCACCUUGCGCUCCUUGGCAUUCCGAGGAGCAUGCCUGUUUGAGUGUCAUUAAAUCAUCAACCCCAUCUACCUUGCAGUCGGUGGGUGUUGGACUUGGAGGCUUCUGCUGGUCCACUGUUGACCAGCUCCUCUUAAAUGCAUUAGCAGGGCCCAUCGUGUGCAAUCUGCGUCCUGGUGUGAUAGUAAAUCUACACCUGGCACCGCUGCACGUCGACCUGCUGCUAGUCGUCCACCUUGUGGACAACGCAUCUGACCAUUUGACCUCAAAUCAGGUAGGACUACCCGCUGAACUUAAGCAUAUC
rnacentral:rRNA from 1 species